AGCCCGACGCGGGGCUCUAACUCACGAACCGCGAGACCAUGACCUGAGCCGAAGUCGGCCGCCCAACCGACUGAGCCACGCAGGCGCCCCGAGCUGCCAAGUCUUUAAGUGCAAAGGCCACUCUAUCCUUGGACUUCCCACUCUGCGGGCGGCUGCCAUUAAGAAGUGGAAUCUGUUUCCUUAAAAGCCCUUGAACCUGGGCUAGCCCUGGCACUUGUUUUGACCUCCAGCAUGUGGCAGAAGUGGAUAUGGUGGCUCCCAGCACGGGGGUCACGAGGACUGGGAUACUUCCCACCCUCUGGUUUGGAAUCUUGACCGACCACCGUGAGGACCAGCCUGAGCUAGAUUUCUAGAGGAUGGGAGACCCCCGGGUGACCCCCAAGUAUGUAAGAAAGCUCAACCCAGCCCAGCCAGCGGAGCCACCGACACCGACUGUCCUCGGACCCAUCAGUGAGCCCAGCUGGGGCCAGAAGAACCUCCGGCUGACCUGCAGACACUGAUGCCAGUGGGAAACCACUCGGGUUCCUGAUGGAUUCAGUGCUCUCCAAAUGCUCUGUCGUAUUAGCCGUGGAAAUGGGCUUUGUCUUGUCCUGGAGUCAUCGCUUGAUGAAAUGAACAGGCACUCAACCUCCGGAAGCCCAAGCUCUUACGGCUGAGACCCAGGCUCGCACAAGAAGCUACUGCCCUCUAAGAGAAUGAUCAGUGCACGGGAGUAUGGGCCAGACAUUGACAGCAGCAGCCACAGAGGGUCUGAGGGUCUCCUCCCCGCACCAUGAAUGCAGUCCCAGUGGAGAACAUCUCUGAUCUCCGGAAAAGCCCUGCCCAUAGGUGGGGAGAGAAUGAACUUUGGAACCAUGCGUCCUGGGCUCAAAUCCCAGCUCUUGGAGGCUCACCGUCUACUUUCUCUGCUGCCGAAGAUGCUUUACACCCAGCAAAGGGAGAUCUCAGAAAAGGCUGAGCCUGAGUGGAGGGUGUGGAGGUGGCCUGGUUAUUCUUAGCAAGGAACGAAGAGAGGCAAAAGAUGCUUUGGGCUGCCAGGGCCGCAUAGCACCUUUCAGAGGGAGCGGCCAGACCACAGUCCUUCCUGGCUCGCCAAGUUUGGUUGGAAAUUCUUUCCACCCCAGGCAGCAGGGAAUUCAGGGAAUUCGGGGUGGGUCUGCCAGGGCCUUCAGAGACCCUUAAAUAAAAUUUCUCAGCUCUGGUGUCAGAACAGUGGUCAGACGUGAGGAGGGCUGUUCGAACAGCCGGGCCUGGCAAGCAGGACCCCAGAGGCUGGGCUCCUGGCCCAUCUGUAGUUUUCCUUCCCGUCUGAAAGCUUUGAUUCAUGCAAAGGCUGGCCCAAGGAGGGUGAGGGGAACUGAAAAGGUACGUGUCCUCAGAACCAAGGAAGAGGGAAGGACAUUCCACCACCUUGCUGACGCCCCGGCUUUCAAAGGUUCAGGAAGAGCUGAGUGGCAUUGAGACCUGGCUUUUUGGUCCAAACUGUUGUUGCCCUCCAGGAGAGAACAAAAGUCCUUUUCUAGGGCACAGACUCUGUGGGUAAGACAGAGGGUAAGGGGUAAGAGCACAGCCUCUGACUCAAAAGAGCCCCAUCCCUGUCACUAAGAAGCUGUGUAGCACUGGACAGGUCAUUUAACAUGUAAAAAUUAAUUAAAAGGGAACCUCACUAAAAGGGAGUCAGGAGGCCAGAAAGGAGUCUGGGGGGGGGGGGGCGGGGGAGAGUAUCACUCAAAUAUCAAUUUUAAGAAGAAUUGUCAAUUACAGACUCCCAACAGAAUUCAGGAAAUUAUCAUCAACUACAGGCCCCAAGAGGGAGAGAUGUACAUUACAUCCCCUGUAAGAAAUCAACUACCCCAGCAACUCAGCUAGUGAGAAACUGUCAGUCCCGAACUCUUGCUUUGUUUAAGGGCCUUUCAUGCAAAACAACCCGACUAACUUCCUCUUUCUCCAUAAAACGUUCCUUUCCUUUGUUUGUUGCCCUUGCCCCUGGUUUUACUGUUUUGCAAUUCUCGGCUAUUCCCGAAUAAACCCAUUUUGCUGAUAAGAUAACCUCUGUUCUUCAGGUGAACAGAUGUUGCCAUGCCUCAGUUUCCUCAACCAGUCAUCCCUACGUUACGGGGUCGCUGUGAGGAUUAAAUGAACAUUCAGUUCUUGGAGCAGAGCCUGGUUUACCCAAAGUCGUUGGUAGAUAGUAACCCACGAGCCUGGCACAGGAAAGUAUUCCAUUAAUAGCAACUAUCCUGGGUACUGGCUGCUUUUCCAUCUGUCCAGUCUGUCGUAGAGUGUUUAAGGCUUGCAGACGUGAGGUGGCUCAGUCAGUUGAGUGUCCGACUCUGGCUCAG